UGGUUUCGGUUUCGGCCCGAGUUUUGAUAUAAGUUCUCUUUGGGCCGAAGCGGAAGGAGGCGUCAUACGGUAAUGGGCUUCUCAUGAAAGCAGUGGCGCAACCAAACGACACGAUUACCAAAACCGAAAUGAAAGUGAAUUAGGGCACACGCAUACGCCGAAUCUAAUCUUUACCUAAUCGCAAACAAUCUAAAGUACCUGGUCGUCAUCGUCCCCUGUCUCUCUCUGUGUCCAUUGGCCAUCGUCAGCCUUCGAAAUGAGGCAAAGACUCAAGAGGAAGAGGCAUAUUUCAGAUUCACGCACAAACUCGUAAUCUGCCUUUUCGAUUAUCCUUCUCCCUUUUCUUCAUUGAAAAAUGCGUUUUAAGUUGCGGCGAAUUGAGUCUAUGGCGGAUGCAGAUUCGGCUUUACAAGGAAGGCAGAGGUAUGGGAAGAUUAGGUUUCAUUAUUUGAUUUUAUCAUCUAGAUUUCCAUUUAGAUAUUUGUAUAGAUAGAUAUCUUUAGAAUUACUUGUUAUUUGAAUUUGACUGUAAUUGAAUUUGAAGGUGCAAAUAUGGAUAAAGGGCUUUUCCUUUA